CCAUCGAGUCUUUGAACGCAAGUUGCGCCCCAAGCCAUUAGGCCGAGGGCACGUCUGCCUGGGUGUCACGC
rnacentral:rRNA from 1 species